GCAUGUCUAAGUAUAAGCAAUUAUACCGCGAAACUGCGAAUGGCUCAUUAAAUCAGUUAUCGUUUAUUUGAUAGUACCUUACUACUUGGAUAACCGUGGUAAUUCUAGAGCUAAUACAUGCUAAAAACCCCAACUCACGAAGGGGUGUAUUUAUUAGAUUAAAAACCAAUGCCCUUCGGGGCUCUUUGGUGAUUCAUAAUAACUUCUCGAAUCGCAUGGCCUUGUGCCGGCGAUGGUUCAUUCAAAUUUCUGCCCUAUCAACUUUCGAUGGCAGGGUCUUGGCCUGCCAUGGUUACAACGGGUAACGGAGGGUUAGGGCUCGACCCCGGAGAAGGAGCCUGAGAAACGGCUACUACAUCCAAGGAAGGCAGCAGGCGCGCAAAUUACCCAAUCCCGAUUCGGGGAGGUAGUGACAAUAAAUACUGAUACAGGGCUCUUUUGGGUCUUGUAAUUGGAAUGAGUACAAUUUAAAUCCCUUAACGAGGAACAAUUNNNNNNNNNNNNNNNNNNNNNNNNNNNNNNNNNNNNNAGCUCCAAUAGCGUAUAUCAAAGUUGUUGCAGUUAAAAAGCUCGUAGUUGAACCUUGGGCCUGGCUGGCCGGUCCGCCUCACCGCGUGCACUGGUUCGGCCGGGCCUUUCCCUCUGGGGAUCCCCAUGCCCUUUACUGGGUGUGGUGGGGAACCAGGACUUUUACUGUGAAAAAAUUAGAGUGUUCAAAGCAGGCCUAUGCUCGAAUACAUUAGCAUGGAAUAAUAGAAUAGGACGUGCGGUUCUAUUUNGUUGGNUUCUAGGACCGCCGNAAUGAUUAAUAGGGACAGUCGGGGGCAUCAGUAUUCAAUUGUCAGAGGUGAAAUUCUUGGAUUUAUUGAAGACUAACUACUGCGAAAGCAUUUGGCAAGGAUGUUUNCAUUAAUCAGGAACGAAAGUUAGGGGAUCGAAGACGAU
rnacentral:rRNA from 1 species